AGACAAUCUCAGCCAGCCCAGCACUUCAGAAAGUCUUUACUCCGUAUUCCACAACAAAACUAAAAAUGCAAAACCAAAUCAAGCUUUACCAGAGCAGGAAAAGAAAUGACAAAAAGCUACUUAGAUAGCAAGAAGUUUCAGAUUCAGAUCUCUCCAAAUACAGUUUGUGUUGACCAGUGAAUUCUUGUUGGUUUUAUAUUUGGAAGAUACUUCAGAGUUUGAUCGUAAUAGCACAGUUCCAGGGCCAGCUAUGAGGUACCGGAUCCUUCCUGGGGAUCUUUUGCAGCCCUACCUUCCCAACAAGACAGAACCUGUGGAAGAGCUGCACAGGAACCUAGAUGAGCACCAAGGCUUUCUUAUAUUCAGAGGACUCCAGGAGCUGGCUCUCUUGAAGACAGUCCCAAGUAUUAGAUAAUUU
rnacentral:lncRNA from 1 species